UGCUCCACCCAAGAAAGAUGGCAUCUGUGGUGUGAGAAAGUGACUCAGCACAGGGAUCCUGAUGGCUGUCCCUUCAGCUCUCUCCUUGGAGGCACAAUCUCCAGAAUCUCCUCACGUGGCACUCAUCUGCUUCUACUUCCAUCUGCUGGAGCCCAGGAGGCUGUGAAGUCCAAGAUUAAGGUGCUGGCAGAUUCAGUUCCUGGCAAGAACUCUCUUCCUGGCUUGCAGGACUGGACAACUACUCGAAAAGCAAGAACAGAAUGUGACUAACUGCUCCCCCUCAAGAGCUGCAGGCAAAAGACAACUUUGGAGCAAACUGCAGCUUAUCCAGAACCAACCAAAACCUCCUGCAUUGCUAUGCCCCUAACAGCCCAGCAGCCACACAACAGCAAUCUCCCCUACCCUUUUAAAAUCCAAUAAAAACUCAAAGCUCUGACAUCUUGCUGCUGGUGUAUCCCUCCACACUUAAGCCUCUUUCUUCUCCUGGAUAGUGAAUAAAACUUUGCUCUCUGCAUUUCUUCUCUUUGUAAAUUCUUUCACAGCCCACAUA